AAGGAUAAGGUGGCGCAGUAUCCUAGUCGGGCCGUGCAGUUCCUAAGACGGGCCUAAAAAUCCGUUAAAGGGCACAUCGAUGAAGUUCCUGGUGCAGGCUUUGGACGCCCAGUCCGGGGUUUGUGCUGGGAGUUAAGGUUUAGGGGCACCCUGCAAUGGCAUGCGGGGCCUGUCCCCUUUUCCGUGGAGACCUGCUCUUGUGCAAAUCAGCAGCAGCGUUUUUUCGCUCAUGGCUGUUUGUACGAAGCGGGGUGAAACCUGUUAGGCGAUACUACCUUUGUGUUGCGAACAGAGUAGCCUGCCUUGCGUGGGUAUGGUGGAUACCGGAUCAGACAGGGAGGCAUCGGCCAAUGCCUCCCCGUUAUCGCUGGUUGAAACCAUGCCUGCAAAAGAGGCUAAGAAUUGUUUCGGUCUGCCGGGGAAAACCCCUAGGCUGUUCAUUUCCUGAGAUACCUGCGGGAUUGCAGUGCGGACUUAGUGGCAAUUCAGUCCCGCCGAUGGCGACGCGGCGGAUAGGGCUUGAAAGGGAAACCGCCGAUUUGGCGACAUUUCGGCAGCCCUAUGGGAAAUCCUACUGAACCUAUGCCGCAGAAUUUACCGCAGGUGUUGCCACCUUCUAUUUCU
rnacentral:sRNA from 1 species